rnacentral:rRNA from 1 species
UUGGCCCUAAAUCGGAAAAUACCCCUGACUUAAGCUUUCAUACGGGAGAAA